rnacentral:lncRNA from 1 species
CUUUUAUAUUAAACCCAUAAUCUAGGUGGUUCAAAUCACAGUGUUGGUGAUGUCACUCCUGCCACCUCUCCUGAGAUUGGCGUGGUUCUGCUGUCAAAAACUUGGAAAAUACUGAAUCAUCUCCCCGAGGAAAAUUGGUGCUUCUCAGCUUCAGACUUGAGUUUCCAGCGAGAAUAAGACAGAGGCGCAUCCUACUGGGAAGCAGUGGGGCUGGGACAAGUCAAAGGCCUCCCUCAAUCCACUCACAGUUCUUCAUCUCUUCAGGGUGAUUUGCCUGUCACCAUCCAUAUGGUGCCUGAGGCAAAGGGUUAGUACUGCUGCUGGUGACAUACCCUAGAGCAGCGGCUGCAGCAAUUACCUGGGAGUCACAUUAUAUUUGCAGUUUGUUCGGAGGGAUGGAUGGAAGAGACUGCAGGUCAACAUCAAGUUUUUUGGUCAGACUUAGCAAAUACAGGAAUAAAAAUAUGACCGCAACGGUCAUUUACAUAUAAGCUACUUUAACCUUAUGUCUCUGCACCCUUGAAUGCGUCCUUCUGUUUCUGUUUCUGAAGUUCUUACACUAUAGAACUACUUCAUGGGACUAUAUUUGACACGAGACUUACUUUCCUGUAGGUGAACAGACUUUGCUCAAGCACUAUCAGAGAUAGGGAGAGAGAAGGAAGCAACGAUAAAGGGAAUACAGUAAAGUGAUUUAAGGAUGAUUUUUAAAAAUGAACUCAAAUGAUG